ACGGGUGAGUAACGCGUGGGAAUCUACCCAACUCUACGGAAUAACUCAGGGAAACUUGUGCUAAUACCGUAUACGCCCUUCGGGGGAAAGAUUUAUCGGAGUUGGAUGAGCCCGCGUUGGAUUAGCUAGUUGGUGGGGUAAAGGCCUACCAAGGCGACGAUCCAUAGCUGGUCUGAGAGGAUGAUCAGCCACAUUGGGACUGAGACACGGCCCAAACUCCUACGGGAGGCAGCAGUGGGGAAUAUUGGACAAUGGGCGCAAGCCUGAUCCAGCCAUGCCGCGUGAGUGAUGAAGGCCUUAGGGUUGUAAAGCUCUUUCACCGGAGAAGAUAAUGACGGUAUCCGGAGAAGAAGCCCCGGCUAACUUCGUGCCAGCAGCCGCGGUAAUACGAAGGGGGCUAGCGUUGUUCGGAAUUACUGGGCGUAAAGCGCACGUAGGCGGAUCGAUCAGUCAGGGGUGAAAUCCCAGAGCUCAACUCUGGAACUGCCUUUGAUACUGUCGAUCUAGAGUAUGGAAGAGGUGAGUGGAAUUCCGAGUGUAGAGGUGAAAUUCGUAGA
rnacentral:rRNA from 1 species